GCGCGCACACACACUCACACACUCCUACACACACGCACGUACACACAGACAGGCACACUGAUUCACUGUCAUGAUUUUCCCAUGUUUGCAGAACAAAGUUCCACUCGUGCACGCGCGCGCCAAAGCACGUGAGAUGACGUGUUAGUUGGCAGGGGUGCCCAUCGAUCAAUACAAUAAAUUAUAUCCUGUAUAAAACGAUCGAUAGUACCAAAAAUGGAUUACUCCAGUGAUGGAUUGCAAUCAGUGAAAUAAUAAUUCUAAUAAUAAUAAUAAUAAAGAAAAUAAUGAUAAUAAAUGAAAAUAUCCAAUUCAAAUACAUCGAAUGCAUUAAAAGUAAAAAUAUAAAUACAUUUAACAAAAAAUUAAUAAUAAAGAAUAUCUUAAAUGAAUUCACAUAUACACUGCUCAAGGUCACUCCCCGCCACCCACCCAAAAAGAAAAAAAAAGAAAAAAUAAAGAAAACGCUGAUGGAUCAUAAUCAAUCACAUAUAAUAUCUCCGUCUAAUUCAGACGAGGUCAAAAAAGCGCUGGUAUAUGUGUGUGUGUCUGAGUGUGGGUUUGGGGCGGGGGUACGCUUUAAUGUUAUCUGUGCGCAGAUAGCGGACCGGUGACCCCGGGGGUGCGCAAAGUUCCCGGCCUGAUUAACCCCGGCAGAGCCGCGCGGGAGCAAAGGUUAACCGGCCUAAUCAACUUCAAGAGGGCGACUCAGUCAGAUCAUCAACUGCAUGGGACACUUCCACACAUAGUGAAAAAGACACACGCAGGUGUGAUUGUGAAGGGCGAACGGUUCUUUGUCUAACGUGACCGGUCCGGAGUGUACCCCACCUCUCGCCCCCAAAGGCAGCUGGGAUAGACUCCAACAAGCCCGCCACCCUCGUGAGGAGAAGCGCGAUGGAUGAAGUCAACGAGUCCAAUCAGUACUUCCACCAGCUUUUCAUGAUUUGAAAUCAUUUAUUUGUAUCUGUAUUUGUACAUACGACAAGGACAGCACGUGAGUAUUUUUGCCCCCACUGCUGUCAAGCCAGAUCCCCCCCCCCCCCCCCAGAAAAGAGCUGCGGCGGCUGGAGUAGCCUCGGGUCGAACUGCGCAUACAAAUUUUUCUUCUACUUCUUCUGAGGUGCCUGUUGUCCGGCAGACGGCGUAUCGAAUGACACAAAAUCGUGCAAUCGAGUGUUGGAUUGUGUUUCCAAACCGGCAAGGUUGG